UGGCUCAGAACGAACGCUGGCGGCAGGCCUAACACAUGCAAGUCGAACGGGACCUUCGGGUCUAGUGGCAGACGGGUGAGUAACGCGUGGGAAUCUACCCAUCUCUACGGAACAACUCCGGGAAACUGGAGCUAAUACCGUAUACGUCCUUCGGGAGAAAGAUUUAUCGGAGAUGGAUGAGCCCGCGUUGGAUUAGCUAGUUGGUGGGGUAAUGGCCUACCAAGGCGACGAUCCAUAGCUGGUCUGAGAGGAUGAUCAGCCACACUGGGACUGAGACACGGCCCAGACUCCUACGGGAGGCAGCAGUGGGGAAUAUUGGACAAUGGGCGCAAGCCUGAUCCAGCCAUGCCGCGUGAGUGAUGAAGGCCCUAGGGUUGUAAAGCUCUUUCAACGGUGAAGAUAAUGACGGUAACCGUAGAAGAAGCCCCGGCUAACUUCGUG
rnacentral:rRNA from 1 species